GCCAGUGUGGUGCAGUGGUUUGAAUAUUGGAUUAGGACUCUGGGAGACUAGGGUUCAAAUCUCUGCUUGGCCA